rnacentral:rRNA from 1 species
AAUGAACGCUGGCGGCGUGCUUAACACAUGCAAGUCGAACGAGAAAGCCUGAUUUCGGUUGGGCGAGUAAAGUGGCGCACGGGUGAGUAACGCGUAGAUAACCUACCCCCGGGUUCGGGAUAACAGUGCGAAAGCGCUGCUAAUACCGGAUACGACCUUAUGGCGCGAGCUGUAAGUUGAAAGUCGGCCUCUCGAAGAAGCUGAUGUUCGGGGAUGGGUCUGCGUCCUAUCAGCUAGUUGGUAGGGUAAUGGCCUACCAAGGCGAUGAUGGUUAGCUGGUCUGAGAGGAUGACCAGCCACACUGGCACUGAAACACGGGCCAGACUCCUACGGGUGGCAG